CCCGCUCAGAAACUUAAAAGAAUUAGACGGGGUACCCGCACAAGCAGCGGAGCAUGUGGUUUAAUUCGAAGCAACGCGAAGAACCUUACCAGAUCUUGACAUCCAAUUGACCAUCUUUUAAUCGAGAUUUUGCCUUCGGGUACAAUUGAGACAGGUGGUGCAUGGUUGUCGUCAGCUCGUGUCGUGAGAUGUUGGGUUAAGUCCCGCAACGAGCGCAACCCUUGUGUUUAGUUGCAAACAGGUCAAGCUGUGCACUCUAGACAGACUGCCGUGGACAACACGGAGGAAGGUGGGGAUGACGUCAAAUCAUCAUGCCCCUUAUGAUCUGGGCUACACACGUGCUACAAUGGCCGGUACAACGGGCAGCGAAGGAGCGAUCCGGAGCGAAUCCUAAAAAGCCGGUCCCAGUUCGGAUUGCAGGCUGAAACUCGCCUACAUGAAGUUGGAGUUGCUAGUAAUCGCGAAUCAGAAUGUCGCGGUGAAUGCGUUCCCGGGUCUU
rnacentral:rRNA from 1 species